AAACCAACAGGGAUUGCCUCAGUAGCGGCGAGUGAAGCGACAAGAGCUCAGAUUUGAAAUCGUGCUUUGCGGCACGAGUUGUAGAUUGCAGGUUGGAGUCUGUGUGGAAGGCGGUGUCCAAGUCCCUUGGAACAGGGCGCCCAGGAGGGUGAGAGCCCCGUGGGAUGCCGGCGGAAGCAGUGAGGCCCUUCUGACGAGUCGAGUUGUUUGGGAAUGCAGCUCCAAGCGGGUGGUAAAUUCCAUCUAAGGCUAAAUACUGGCGAGAGACCGAUAGCGAACAAGUACUGUGAAGGAAAGAUGAAAAGCACUUUGAAAAGAGAGUGAAACAGCACGUGAAAUUGUUGAAAGGGAAGGGUAUUGCGCCCGACAUGGGGAUUGCGCACCGCUGCCUCUCGUGGGCGGCGCUCUGGGCUUUCCCUGGGCCAGCAUCGGUUCUUGCUGCAGGAGAAGGGGUUCUGGAACGUGGCUCUUCGGAGUGUUAUAGCCAGGGCCAGAUGCUGCGUGCGGGGACCGAGGACUGCGGCCGUGUAGGUCACGGAUGCUGGCAGAACGGCGCAACACCGC
rnacentral:rRNA from 1 species